UACAGAGGGUGCGAGCGUUGUUCGGAAUUACUGGGCGUAAAGCGCGCGCAGGCGGCCUUUUAAGUCUGACGGUGAAAUGCCGGGGCUCAACCCCGUGCCCGCCGCGGGUACUGGGAGGCUGGAGACAUGUAGAGGCAAGCGGAAUUCCGGGUGUAGCGGUGGAAUGCGUAGAGAUCCGGAAGAACACCGGAGGCGAAGGCGGCUUGCUGGGCAUUGUCUGACGCUGAGGCGCGAAAGCGUGGGGAGCGAACAGG
rnacentral:rRNA from 1 species